rnacentral:misc_RNA from 1 species
GGAGAGUCAGAGGGAGGUUUGAAAUGAAUCGAUACAGCAUAAACUUGAAGAACGAGUAGGCAGACAGACAGACAGAGACCUUCCGCUCUCAAAAGGCCAAAUCAAAUCAAAUCGCUCUCCACUCCACAGCAAAUAAAAUAACCUAAUUUCCUCUUCUUCCCAAUACACAACAUUAUAACUGAAAAAACAAGAAUUGGGAAAUUUUGAAUUCUGAAUUCACCCCAUAUGUAAUGCAUCAGAAGAAAUCAGAAGUCCAAAUCGGAAAAGAAAGCACCGGCGUCUCUUCCGAUUUCAACCCUACCCCUCCUUUUCUCUUUCCUUCUUCAUCUGAUCACAACAAUACCCUCACAACCAUCGCCCCUCAAUUUCUAAUUCAAUCUCCAGCCAUUCAAUUCAAUAAUGACCCUAUUACCCCUUCUGCUUCUUCUUCCUCAACCCCUUAUAAGAGGCCCCUUCUGACUCAUCACCAUCCUCAUCGCUCUUCCUCUCUUUCUAAAUCCCCUACCAUCUACCAUUUCUCCACCACCCAACAAAAACACUCUCUUUUUUCUAUUUCCGUCGCUGCUAAAUCCGCUGCCUUUCGAUUCCUCUGCCGUUUCAACCACCUUCGCCGUCUCCGCGUCCAUCUUCGCUUAAUUCUCCUCUUAUCUCUCCCAUUUUUCUACUUCUUGGUCUCCCAUCCCAGUCACUCUUUCCUCCUUGACUUCCUAUCCGCCUUCGCUUUCUCCGCUGCUUUAUUAUUUUCUUUAAAUCUCGCUCUCCCUCGCCUCCCUUCAAUUCGAUUGUUUUUGGCGCGUUCCUUCCCAAUCAAGCUCAAAUCCGCUUCUAACAUAUCUAGACCGCCUUUACCUGUGUUUUGGUCAAUUGGGUCGAGGCCUAAUUCGGAGAAAAGAGUGAAUUCGGGGUGUUGGGUCCAGGUUUAUAGCAACGGAGACGUAUACGAGGGCGAGUUUCAUAAGGGUAAGUGUUCCGGGAGCGGGGUGUACUAUUAUUACAUGAGUGGGAGAUACGAGGGGGAUUGGGUUGAUGGAAAAUAUGAUGGUUAUGGAGUGGAGACUUGGGCUAGAGGGAGCCGGUAUAGAGGGCAGUAUAGGCAGGGACUUAGGCAUGGUUUUGGGGUGUAUAGAUUUUACACAGGGGAUGUUUAUGCAGGGGAAUGGUCUAAUGGCCAGAGCCAUGGGUGCGGAGUCCAUACUUGUGAAGACGGAAGUCGAUAUGUUGGGGAAUUCAAGUGGGGUGUCAAGCAUGGGCUUGGCCACUACCAUUUCAGGUAAUUUGGCAAUUUGAUUCUUGUAUAUAUGUUAUUUGUUUAUUAUGAGGAGUUACAUAUUCCUGAUUUUGUUGGUCUGAUAUUUUCCUUUCGGUAAUUGAAACUAAAUUUAUCUUGUGGAUGUUGUUUUUUAACUUGUGAUAUCAUUCCAUUCCGUAGUUUCCAAGUUACGGAUUUUGUGCAACUUAUCAGCUGUUAGUUUGCGUGGAGAUGUUAGGGCAUUGAAGUCUCUAAGAAAUGUUUCAUGAAAACUUAUGUUAGCUGAGGUUUUACCCUAGGAUGAUUUAUAUCCAAAUGGAGCAAGAGCAAGCUAGUUAAUAAUUAGUUAGCAAGUUAUAAGCAGCCUUAAAUAAUUCCUUGUAAUUCAGAAACUAAAAAUUUAUUGGAUUUGAAACAGGGAGAGGGAAAUGUUGCGAAAUGCUUGAUAAAGCUAAUCAUCUUUAAGCAUGUCUUCAUAAUGCAAAAUGUUUGAUAAAGCCCAAAUACAAAUUAUUGUUUUCAGGCUAUUUUAAGAAUUUUUAUGUGCUUUUGUAUGGAAUGUCUUUCAUUCAAUUAGGCUUCAGAGUGAGUGUAGCAAGACUUUCACAGAAUGGUUCCUUAUUCCUUCUGGCGAUAAGUAGAUAAAAGAAACACCUUGAAUGGUCUAAUUAUAUGUACUCAUCUAUUUUUUCUCUGAUGAAUGAUCCAAAUCUAUUUUCGGAAUGGGACUUGUGUACCAGUGUAUAUUUAAGCUCAGGUUUGAACUUGCUCAACCGUAAAAUUGGUACUAAAAUGUUUUAUUUGCUAUUCUAACAUUUUCUAGUCAUUAAGUUCCUCUAGUUGAAAGUAAUUGCUAGUUUGGUUCUUAGAAGUGAGAGUACAAACCUUAUCUAACUUUUAAGCCUGGUUGGUAGAUAUUUCCUGAUUUCACAGUUUACCAUUUAGUCUACUAUCAUAUAUUAUAGUUGUCUUGCAGCUUGUGUUCUGCUUACCACAUCUUAUCCACUUAAUACCAUGGAGUCUGUUGCAGGUUUAACAAACUUGUCAGACUCAACUUUAGUUGCUUCCUUGCAUUUGUAUUAGAGGGUUGUUAGGGGCUUGUUGUGUUUAUAUCACUUUUGGGUUUCAUCAGUCUAUUGCAUGGGGGAAUCUUUCAUUGAAGAAACUAUGUCUCAAUGCCUUGAGUUGAAAUCCUAGAAAAUUAGGUCUGAACAUUUUAUGCUAUAGUUUUUGAUACGUUGGAUUAUAUUCCAAGGAUUUUUAAACUAAAUUUCCCUUUUUAAUUGCAAUAAUUUUUCUUGGCAAUUACUUGGUAGCUCAUUUUGUCAACUAGUUGCAGCUUUGGAUAUCUAUAUAUUUCCUACAAUGAUUAUUUUUUUUUUUAUUUACUUGCUUAUCUAACUGAAUACUAUUUAGAAAUGGCGACACAUAUGCUGGAGAAUAUUUUGCAGACAAGAUGCAUGGCUUUGGCGCCUAUCGUUUUGCAAAUGGACAUCGGUAUGAGGGAGCCUGGCAC